UGCAUGUGGAGCCUGUUUUGAUUGCUGCACAGGGCAACCAUAGUGAGGGCAGGCAGAUCUACUUGCAAGUCAACAGACUGAUUUUUAAGAUGUCAACGGAUUUUCCUGGAAAAAUUCAGGUAAAUGGAAUUUACGAACCUCCCAUUCCUACAGAACAAUGUUGGUGUACAUCAGAACAAUGGACGGAGCACCACGAAGACCCCCCACUCAGUUGAGAUUCUUUUAGACAUACACAACCACAUACAUGUCAAAAUCCCCGACAUUUACCAGCAGACAACUUGUGGCCUUUGUGGGAACUACAAUGAUAAUCACUCAGAUGACUGCCCAGUGGCACUGUAACCUCUGAUCCUGACAUCUUUGGGACAUCGUGGAAGUUGUUUGAUACCAAAUCAUCCUGCAACAACACAUGCGACCGCACCUGCAAAAUCUGCCAGUCCCCUUUGCCCAAGUUCACGUCAGACAUGUACUGUGACCUCAUCACCCAGACGAGGUGACCAUUGUACUCUUGUCACCAUUUAGUGUUCCCACAAAAAUGCUACUCAAUCUGCUCGAAAAACCUUUGUAUUUCAGAGGGACAAAGCUGAGCCCUAUUUGAUGCACUACAGGCCUAUGAGGCAGCAUGCAAGGAAGCAGGAAUGAACGUUGGCCUGUGGAGGACCACCACAGGGUGUGUCACAACAGCCAGUGUGCAAAUGUUUGCUCCUACCUGUGUCCUUCGAUUACCCAGGCAGUGCAAUGCCCCGAGACUGUGAGGAAAGUUGCCACUGUGAUACUGAACAACUUUAUUAUGUACAUGUCUGUGUACCAGCAGAGCCGUGUGCCUGCGUACAGGAUGGGAGGAGGUUUAAGGUCACAGAAUUAAACACUUUUGUGUGCAAUCUAAUCAGAAAAGAGUGUAAUUUUUGUAGUCUUUUAUCUGAAUUAGACUAUUAACAUUUGCAGCAUUUUAAUUAAAAAUUUUACUCAAAUAAAUAUUUGAGUAUUCUGUAAACUCAUUAAAUGCAUACUCAUACAUUUUUGUUUCUUUUUUAACUUGCUUCAUUUGUUUCCUAUUUUCAGACCUCUGAGAGCAAACUUCUACAAAACUGUACUGUUAACUGCACCUGUGAGCUGACUCUUAUCUGUGUCCUCCACUGUGCAGUUGUAUAGUUUCAGAUGCUCUCCAUUGUCCUGACCGCAGCAGCCCAAGUGAGUGUGUUCACUCUGGUUCCAACUAAUGCCCUGCCCUGCUGCAGCCUGGUUUUCCAGCUCCUGGCUGUUCAAACAGCUGCCAGUGCCUGAACAGAAAUGUUUAUGAUGGGGCUGACUGUGUACCUUACAGUCAGUGUGGGUGUUUUCUUCAUGAUAAUAUAUCAAGGUAAAUAUGAAAGCUUAAUAUAGGCAGUG